rnacentral:rRNA from 1 species
AGGGUUUGAUCAUGGCUCAGAAUGAACGCUGGCGGCGUGCUUUACACAUGCAAGUCGAGCGAGGCGGGGAGCAAUCCCCAGUCGAGCGGCGAACGGGUGAGUAACGCGUGGAUGACCUGCCCUUUAGUGGGGAAUAACCCGGGGAAACUCGGGCUAAUACCGCAUAAGACCGAGAGGUGAAAGCGGGGUCGCAAGAUCUCGUGCUGAAGGAGGGGUCCGCGUUCGAUUAGCUAGUUGGUAGGGUAAUGGCCUACCAAGGCGACGAUCGAUAGCCGGCCUGAGAGGGUGAUCGGCCACACUGGAACUGAGACACGGUCCAGACUCCUACGGGAGGCAGCAGUGGGGAAUUUUGCGCAAUGGGCUAACGCCUGACGCAGCAACGCCGCGUGGAGGAUGAAGGUCUUUGGAUUGUAAACUCCUGUCGGCAGGGAAAAAGGGACUGGACCUAAUACGUCUGGAACUUGAUUGUACCUGCAGAGGAAGCCCCGGCUAACUCUGUGCCAGCAGCCGCGGUAAUACAGAGGGGGCAAGCGUUAUUCGGAAUUAUUGGGCGUAAAGGGCGCGUAGGCGGCUUUUCAAGUGGCGGGUGAAAUCCCUCGGCUUAACCGAGGAACUGCCUGCCAGACUGGAAGGCUUGAGACCGGGAGAGGUGAGUGGAAUUCCCAGUGUAGCGGUGAAAUGCGUAGAUAUUGGGAGGAACACCAGUGGCGAAGGCGGCUCACUGGACCGGAACUGACGCUGAGGCGCGAAAGCGUGGGGAGCAAACAGGAUUAGAUACCCUGGUAGUCCACGCCGUAAACGAUGAGUGCUUGGUGUAGCGGGUAUCGACCCCUGCUGU